ensembl:lncRNA
AUGAGUGUGUACUUAGAAAUCAGAUGCCAGUCACUUCAAAACUCUUGUAAUCAUGCUGUAUGUGCUUUUACUCUUGCAAAGCUAGAAAUUACUUUUGAUGUCUGUUGUUUGCAUUCUGUUUCACACGUAGGUUAUAACGGACUCAAGUGUAAAAGUAAUUAUUACCAGAAAUCCACUCAGGAAAUCCAAAGAUGUGAACGCUGCAAUAAAGAGUGUUCUGAGGAUAAUAAUGAGAAGGAAGUUACUCCAUGCACUCAGAACAGCAAAAGAGUUUGCUUCUGUAAACCAGGUUUUUAUUGUACUAGUGGAAACAAUUAUUCAACACACUGCCAUAAACCAUGUGUUCCCUGUGGAAAAGGCACGUUCUCCAGCACACCAUCUCUGGACGCCUGCAGUCCUCAUACAGAUUGUGCUCGGUUGGGAAUGAUAAUGCUCAAAGAGGGCACAGCGACGCAGGACAGUGAGUGUGUGAAUGCCACAACAGUGAAGCCAGCCUCGUCCACUACCACAGAUAUCAUUACUACCACCACUUUCAAUAGCACUUCCAUUCCCAUGACAGGGGUCACUGCACAAUUCAAGGAAGACGAAAUCCAUUCCCACUGGCUGCUGCUAUUAAUCUUAAUGUUGAUAAUCUUGUUCAUGGCUGGAUUCUGUAUUCUGAUGAAAAACACGGCAAAGAAAACCCUUUUUAAAUGGUUUGGUUUAAUAAACAGACGACAUGAAGAUAAUCAACUCUGGAGUCAAACUGCAGUUGAUAAUCAAAUUUUGUUCAAUUCCCACACCUCGGAGACCACAAUACCAGUCGGCAGUGGUGGCAGAGAGGUCAAAGGUCAGAGUACGGGGCCGAUGCCCCAAUCUGGGGCUGUGCAGCAGGUCACAAUGGAGCACAAUGGGAAGGGUGAGAACGUCAGCAAUACUGUUGGGUCCAUCUACAUCUACUCUCCUGGAAUGGUGAUUCUGGGCUCCAACUCGGGUGAUAAAAAGGAAGAGGCAGGACUUUGCGAAGAAGGCGUUCCCCUCAUCAGCAGACCUCAGCAAGAGUCAAAUCCACCCUCGCAAGAGGUCAGAAUCAGAAUAAGCGCACAGGAAGAGGCUGAGGAGGAACUGAGCCUGAGUUUUCCCGUGCCAGCAACUGAAAAGUGA